AGAACUGGAAUCCUGGGAAGCACCCACCCAGACAGGCACUUUACUACAAUAUGUUGACAACCUGUUAAUUGCUACUGAAACUGAGAAAGAAUGUGUUCAAUGGACUGUAGAAUUGUUAAACUUCUAGGACUAAAUGGAUACUGGGUAUCUAAAUCGAAGGCUCAAAUAAUUCGAACUCGAGUAUCUUAUUUAGAAUAUGAAAUAACAGGAGGACAACAGAAUUUGGAGCAGCUCGGAAGGAAGCAAUCUGUCAAACACCACGACCAUCCACGGUUAAAGAUCUCCAGACAUUUUUGGGAAUAACAGGGUGGUGUCGACUCUGGAUCCAUGAUUAUGGUGUUCUGAGACAGUAUACUCGAGCCGACCAGACCUGAAGGAGGAACCUCUGGAGGGUGCAGAUUCCUGGUUUACUGAUGGCAGCAGCUUUGUUAACGACAGUAAACAACAAGCAGGAUACAUCAUAACUACAACUUCAAAGGUAAUCCUCUUAAGGAGAAGCAGAAUAGACCAUAUCAGGUGCUGUUGAUCACCUUCACUGCAAUCAAGAUAAAAGAGCAACCUGCUUGGAUACAUUACUAAGAAUUAAGAAGGAGCCAGAACCAGAAAAACACCAGAACUGAGAAAAAGUAUGGCACAUUGAGUGUUCAGGACCCACACAUGAGACUACAUCUAUCAUAAUUUGGACUUGUAUAAUAAUAGGUGUAGAAGCAUGGAAUCAAAAUCUGUAUCUGAGAUUGAUACAAAAUGUUACCAGUGUCUUAAACAAGAGUGAUUGUUAGAUCUGUACUCAGCUACCUAAAUCAGGAGAGAGACCGGGUAUUCCUUUAAUUGGCUUCCCCUUUAAGACAAACUGGAAUAGAUUGUGGCAAGAUCCUGUUUAUACCAACAAGAGCCAUACAAAUUUAUAGGUUUUAAGGAUUCAAGCCUUGAAUAUGUCAGAAGUUAAAUGUGACCGCAAGGCAACAUGUCAGUAGAAAUUACCCAUAUUACAGCUGGGCAGUGCAACUUCAUCUUUGAAAACCUUUAACUGGUUAUUGGAAUGUUCCUGAAGGAAAAGGGUGGUAUUGGUUAUGUGGAGAAAAUGCCUAAAAGGCUUUGCCUCCUAACUGGAAAGGAACAUGCACACUAGGAGUAGUGAUUCCCGACUUUACAGUAAUUGACAUUCAUCCCUCUGGAACCUGGCUUUGUAGUUUUAAUAAAUAAAUCAAACGAGGAUAUAAUCCCAUAGCAGAGCAAAACACUGCUUUUUUUUUUGUU